rnacentral:rRNA from 1 species
UAGGGAAUCUUCGGCAAUGGACGAAAGUCUGACCGAGCAACGCCGCGUGAGUGAAGAAGGUUUUCGGAUCGUAAAACUCUGUUGUUAGAGAAGAACAAGGACGUUAGUAACUGAACGUCCCCUGACGGUAUCUAACCAGAAAGCCACGGCUAACUACGUGCCAGCAGCCGCGGUAAUACGUAGGUGGCAAGCGUUGUCCGGAUUUAUUGGGCGUAAAGCGAGCGCAGGCGGUUUCUUAAGUCUGAUGUGAAAGCCCCCGGCUCAACCGGGGAGGGUCAUUGGAAACUGGGAGACUUGAGUGCAGAAGAGGAGAGUGGAAUUCCAUGUGUAGCGGUGAAAUGCGUAGAUAUAUGGAGGAACACCAGUGGCGAAGGCGGCUCGCUGGGCUGUAACUGACGCUGAGGCUCGAAAGCGUGGGGAGCAAACAGG